AGUCAUUCACUUCUCGUCUGAAGGCAGAAAGAUUCUGUGUGAACCUGUCUCGAUUCUUUGUGAGCAAGUUCCUUUCAAUGCUCUCCAUCAAAUUCUCAAAGCAUAGAUGCAUGGCUUGUUGCUUCUCAGGAGGCUGGCUACUAACAAUGCUGCUCCAUAAGUCAGAGAAAUACUUCUCAUUGAGGAGAAUGAGACCAAGGAGAGGUCUGCUCAUGGACCACUGAUUCCGACAGUCUUCAAAUAUAUAAUGAUAUUGAGAACAGUGGAGAGCAUCUGCUGGAUCAUUUCAGGGUGUUGCUGCAUAAUGUGCAGGAAGCACUCACUCUCUUGUGGUGGUGGGGCUCCUCGUUUCUUACCAGUUCGGGAUAACUGUUUGAAGAGGUAUGUAACUUUGUGGUCCAGACAAGAACAGCAGCCUGAGC
rnacentral:lncRNA from 1 species